rnacentral:ncRNA from 12 species
UAAUAUAGAGGAUAGAACAGGUAGCUAUCACCACACAGAAAUGUGUUAGGAGAUGUGGAAUGACCGACCACCUAUAUUA